GACGAACGCUGGCGGCGUGCUUAACACAUGCAAGUCGAACGAAGUGGCGAACGGGUGAGUAACGCGUAAUCAACCUGCCCUUCGGAGGGGGACAACAGUUGGAAACGACUGCUAAUACCGCAUACUGAAGGCGGGGAUUGAGUCUGUUGUGCUUGUUGGAGGGGUAACGGCCCACCUAGGCGAAGAUCAGUAGCCGGUCUGAGGGGAUGGACGGCCAAAAUUGGACUGAGACACAGCCCAAGCUCCUACCGGAAGCAGGAGGGGGGAAUCUUCCGAAAUGGAGGAAAGUCUGACGGAACAACGCCGCGUGAGUGAAGACGGCCUUCGGGUUGUAAAGCUCUGUUAAUCGGGGCGCGGUACCGGAAGAGGAAGCCACGGCUAACUACGUGCCAGCAGCCGCGGUAAUUC
rnacentral:rRNA from 1 species